GUAACACGUGGGUAACCUGCCUGUAAGACUGGGAUAACUCCGGGAAACCGGGGCUAAUACCGGAUGGUUGUUUGAACCGCAUGGUUCAAACAUAAAAGGUGGCUUCGGCUACCACUUACAGAUGGACCCGCGGCGCAUUAGCUAGUUGGUGAGGUAACGGCUCACCAAGGCAACGAUGCGUAGCCGACCUGAGAGGGUGAUCGGCCACACUGGGACUGAGACACGGCCCAGACUCCUACGGGAGGCAGCAGUAGGGAAUCUUCCGCAAUGGACGAAAGUCUGACGGAGCAACGCCGCGUGAGUGAUGAAGGUUUUCGGAUCGUAAAGCUCUGUUGUUAGGGAAGAACAAGUACCGUUCGAAUAGGGCGGUACCUUGACGGUACCUAACCAGAAAGCCACGGCUAACUACGUGCCAGCAGCCGCGGUAAUACGUAGGUGGCAAGCGUUGUCCGGAAUUAUUGGGCGUAAAGGGCUCGCAGGCGGUUUCUUAAGUCUGAUGUGAAAGCCCCCGGCUCAACCGGGGAGGGUCAUUGGAAACUGGGGAACUUGAGUGCACAAGAGGAGAGUGGAAUUCCACGUGUAGCGGUGAAA
rnacentral:rRNA from 1 species